CGUCAACCUGUAUAUUCUUCCCUUUAUCAGACAAUACAAACACAGACUGUCACAGAUGGAAGGUUUUUUCCAACUGUAAAUGUAAGUAAUUGAGUCUAGAGAAGUGGUUAUUCCCACUCAAAUACUAGAAGCUGGAGUACUGGAAUUCUUGUGGAGUCUGCUUAUAUUAUUCCUGUGCCAGUAAGGAAUAUUCCAUUUUCCCCCCCUUGCUUUCCAGAUGACUACCUUUAGUCAUUUCAUGUCCAUUGGUGCAUAAUGUCCUUAUUUCCCAAUAAUUUAUACUUUGUUGCAGGAGAGGAAAAUUGCUCUGUGCUGGUGUGAACAGAGAUGUACAGAUUUCCACGGCCAGUCCCACAGAUGUUUUCCAAGGAACAGCUGCAAGAACAUUUCCAGCAUAGUUGUGUCCUAAGCUACCGUAUCCAGGCACGUUUCACUAACAUCCCCUUGACACUUGCCAGAAGAGAUAAUUCAGAUACACUUUCUCAGAUGUACCCUCAGUGAACAUGAUCCUGAUCCACAUGGAAAAGUGGAAAUCACUGUUACGGGGCGGCAAAGAUCCCUGGGAAAAGGCACGGCCACAAGUGGCACAGCACCACCACACACUGGGCAAGGUUAUGAGCUCCUGCAGUGCUGAUAUCAACUCCCCAGGACAUAAACUACCCACUUAUUAACGAUGAUGUCUGCAGUGGAGUACAACCACAGUCAGCUGAUUAAAAGCAACGGAGAAAAGGAAGGAAUUUUGAUGUUCUGGAAGGGAAAAAAUGGAAUAAAACCUGGAUAUUAAUUGACACCCCCGGGUCAUUCACGCUGCCAAUACUAAAAGGUAAAAUUGGGAAUGCUGUUGAGGAGGAGGCACAUUCCUAUCUGCUGUUGGUGCUCCUGCGUGCUGUGACAGCCAUUUCUGACUACUCAUCUGUUUUCUAGGAAGAAUGCUGGAUUUACAGGCUGAACAAUCCCAAUGCACAUGGACACCUCCUGUCCAGCCUCUCAUCCACCAGCACCCCCAGGUCCUCCUUAUCGGGGCGAGAUCCCUUUUCCACAUUUCAGUGUUUGGCUGUGAACCCCUGCAACCAAAGUGUUCUUCCUUGGCUGACAUGGCCCUUGGGAGUCUUUCCACCACUCCAAGACAUCCAGCUUUUGUCCAGGGCAUCAAGUCCAACGCAAAACACCUGCCUGCCGUUGGACAGUGGCCGUGCUCCAGGUGUGCCUCAUUGCAAUCACCAAGCAGUGUCUCUCUAAAUCCCUUGGUUGUGGUGACUGCCACAAACUACCAGUGGGAUCUUGGAAAACUGCCACAGCUUUACAGACUUCUUAAACGCCGACUCUUAAGCAACGAGUCCCAGAAGAAUUAGAAUGGAAUUGUGAAAGCGGGAUAAAAUUCCAGCGGGACUCGCCCUUCUCUGC